GAGUAAUGUCUGGGAAACUGCCUGAUGGAGGGGGAUAACUACUGGAAACGGUGGCUAAUACCGCAUAACGUCGCAAGACCAAAGAGGGGGACCUUCGGGCCUCUUGCCAUCAGAUGUGCCCAGAUGGGAUUAGCUAGUUGGUGAGGUAACGGCUCACCAAGGCGACGAUCCCUAGCUGGUCUGAGAGGAUGACCAGCCACACUGGAACUGAGACACGGUCCAGACUCCUACGGGAGGCAGCAGUGGGGAAUAUUGCACAAUGGGCGCAAGCCUGAUGCAGCCAUGCCGCGUGUAUGAAGAAGGCCUUCGGGUUGUAAAGUACUUUCAGCGGGGAGGAAG
rnacentral:rRNA from 1 species